rnacentral:rRNA from 1 species
AUGGGCAUGGGGUGGAAAGCCGUGAACGACGCCAAGCCGUACCUGGCGAUGGUGCUGCUGCAGGUGGGGUUCGCCGGGAUGUACAUCGUCGCCGUGGCGUCCCUCAAGCGCGGUAUGAGCCACUUCGUGCUCGUCGUCUACCGUAACAUCGUCGCCACCGUCGUCAUGGCGCCCUUCGCCCUCUACUUCGAGAGGGGACUGAGGCCAAAGAUGACAAUCACCAUCUUCAUCAAGAUCAUGGGGCUCGCAUUACUCGAGCCUGUGCUUGACCAGAACCUCUACUACAUGGGCGCGAACCUGACCUCGGCGGGGUUCGCCACGGCGCUGGUCAACAUCCUCCCGGCCGUCACCUUCGUGUUGGCGCUCAUCCUGCGCAUGGAGAAGGUGCGGCUGCGGAGCUUGCACAGCCAGGCCAAGAUCGCCGGCACGGUCCUCACGGUGGCCGGCGCCGUGCUCAUGGUCCUGUACCACGGCCCCGUCGUGCAGUUCCCGUGGGCCAAGGGCCAGCACCACGCCGGCAGUGCGGCUGCCGCCGCCGACGGAGCGGCGUGGCUGAAGGGGACCAUCAUGACCAUCGCCGCCUGCGUGGCCUGGUCGUGCUUCUUCAUCCUCCAGUCCAGCACGCUCCGGGACUACCCGGCGGAGCUGUCCCUCACGGUGCUCAUCUGCGGCGUGGGCUCGGUCAUGAGCACCGCCGUCGCCGUCGUCGCCGAGCGCGCCAACACCCAUGCUUGGGUCAUCGGCUUCGACACUCGCCUCUUCACGGUCGUGUACGGCGGCAUAGUGUGCUCCGGCGUGGCGUACUACGUGCAGGGCAUCGUGUCGAGGCAAAGAGGCCCGGUGUUCGUCACGGCCUUCAACCCGCUCUGCAUGAUCGUAACCGCCGUCAUGGGCUCCAUAAUUCUGAAAGAGGAGAUCACUCUCGGAAGUGUGAUUGGUGCAGUGAUCAUCGUGGUAGGUCUCUACUUUCUCAUCUGGGGCAAGAGCACGGACGGCAUCAGCCAAGUUUCCGACGUCAGUGUCAAGGGCGCCGGCGAGCUGCCCUUAACCACGGCGACCAACGGCCACGGCAGCGACAGCGGCAAGCACGUGCUUGGCAACGGCAACGGCGACGUCCAUGUCUUGGAUGUUGAGACGCCGACGACCAAUGGCCACUAG